UACGUAGGGUGCGAGCGUUGUCCGGAAUUAUUGGGCGUAAAGGGCUCGUAGGCGGUUUGUCGCGUCGGGAGUGAAAACACCGGGCUUAACUCGGUGCUUGCUUUCGAUACGGGCAGACUAGAGAUAUGCAGGGGGAGAACGGAAUUCCUGGUGUAGCGGUGAAAUGCGCAGAUAUCAGGAGGAACACCGGUGGCGAAGGCGGUUCUCUGGGCAUUACCUGACGCUGAGGAGCGAAAGUGUGGGGAGCGAACAGG
rnacentral:rRNA from 1 species